rnacentral:rRNA from 1 species
GAUGAACGCUGGCGGCGUGCCUAAUACAUGCAAGUCGAGCGAACGGACGAGAAGCUUGCUUCUCUGAUGUUAGCGGCGGACGGGUGAGUAACACGUGGAUAACCUACCUAUAAGACUGGGAUAACUUCGGGAAACCGGAGCUAAUACCGGAUAAUAUUUUGAACCGCAUGGUUCAAAAGUGAAAGACGGUCUUGCUGUCACUUAUAGAUGGAUCCGCGCUGCAUUAGCUAGUUGGUAAGGUAACGGCUUACCAAGGCAACGAUGCAUAGCCGACCUGAGAGGGUGAUCGGCCCAACUGGAACUGAGACACGGUCCAGACUCCUACGGGAGGCAGCAGUAGGGAAUCUUCCGCAAUGGGCGAAAGCCUGACGGAGCAACGCCGCGUGAGUGAUGAAGGUCUUCGGAUCGUAAAACUCUGUUAUUAGGGAAGAACAUAUGUGUAAGUAACUGUGCACAUCUUGACGGUACCUAAUCAGAAAGCCACGGCUAACUACGUG